UAACCUGCCCAAGAGAUCGGGAUAACACCUGGAAACAGAUGCUAAUACCGGAUAACAACAGAUGAUGCCUAUCAACUGUUUAAAAGAUGGUUCUGCUAUCACUAUUGGAUGGACCUGCGGUGCAUUAGCUAGUUGGUAGGGUAACGGCCUACCAAGGCGAUGAUGCAUAGCCGAGUUGAGAGACUGAUCGGCCACAUUGGGACUGAGACACGGCCCAAACUCCUACGGGAGGCAGCAGUC
rnacentral:rRNA from 1 species